rnacentral:rRNA from 1 species
UUCCGGUUGAUCCUGCCGGACCCGACUGCUAUCGGAUUGAGAUUUAGCCAUGCGAGUCGAACGCCUUCCUGUUGCGGGAGGCGUGGCGUACGGCUCAGUAACACGUAGUCAACCUGCCCUAGAGACAUGAAUAACCCCGGGAAACUGGGAUUAAUACAUGAUAGAUCAUCUCAUCUGGAAGGAGAGAUGGUUUAAAGGGGUGCGCGAGCUUCUUUUGUGCAUCCGCUCUAGGAUGGGACUGCGGCCGAUCAGGCUGUUGGUGGGGUAAUGGCCCACCAAACCUGUAACCGGUACGGGCCUUGAGAGAGGGGGCCCGGAGAUGGACACUGAGAGAAGGGUCCAGGUCCUACGGGGCGCAGCAGGCGCGAAACCUUCGCAAUGCGCGAAAGCGUGACGAGGUUAAUCCGAGUGGUUCCCGCUGAGGGAAUCUUUUGUUGGCUCUAAAAUGGCCAGUGAAUAAGGGGAGGGCAAGUCUGGUGUCAGCCGCCGCGGUAAUACCAGCUCCUCGAGUGGUCGGGGCGAUUAUUGGGCCUAAAGCAUCCGUAGCCUGUUCUGUAGGUCUUCUGUUAAAUCCAACGGCUUAACCGUUGGCCUGCAGAAGAUACCGCAGGACUAGGAAGCGGGAGAGGUGGACGGUACUCCACGUGUAGGGGUAAAAUCCUUUGAUCCGUGGAAGACCACCAGUGGCGAAGGCGGUCCACCAGAACGCGCUCGACGGUGAGGGAUGAAAGCUGGGGGAGCGAACCGGAUUAGAUACCCGGGUAGUCCCAGCCGUAAACGAUGCGAGCUAGAUGAUCCAAUCGCAAAUCGCGAUUGGAGUGUCGCAGGGAAGCCGUUAAGCUCGCCGCCUGGGGAGUACGGUCGCAAGACUGAAACUUAAAGGAAUUGGCGGG